rnacentral:rRNA from 1 species
AGUCGAACGCCCGAGCAAUCGGGAGUGGCAGACGGGUGAGUAACACGUGGGAACAUACCCUUCGGUUCGGAACAACGUUUGGAAACGAACGCUAAUACCGGAUACGGCUUACGGGCGAAAGAUUCAUCGCCGAAGGAUUGGCCCGCGUUCGAUUAGCUAGGUGGCGGGGUAACGGCCCACCAUGGCGACGAUCGAUAGCUGGUCUGAGAGGAUGGCCAGCCACAUUGGGACUGAGACACGGCCCAAACUCCUACGGGAGGCAGCAGUGGGGAAUAUUGGACAAUGGGCGCAAGCCUGAUCCAGCCAUGCCGCGUGAGUGAUGACGGCCUUAGGGUUGUAAAGCUCUUUCGCACGCGACGAUAAUGACGGUAGCGUGAGAAGAAGCCCCGGCUAACUUCGUGCCAGCAGCCGCGGUAAUACGAAGGGGGCUAGCGUUGUUCGGAAUCACUGGGCGUAAAGGGUGCGUAGGCGGAUUCUUAAGUCAGGGGUGAAAUCCCGAGGCUCAACCUCGGAACUGCCUUUGAUACUGGGGAUCUUGAGUCCGGAAGAGGUGAGUGGAACUGCGAGUGUAGAGGUGAAAUUCGUAGAUAUUCGCAGGAACACCGGUGGCGAAGGCGGCUCACUGGUCCGGAACUGACGCUGAGGCACGACAGCGUGGGGAGCAAACAGGAUUAGAUACCCUGGUAGUCCACGCCGUAAACGAUGAAUGCCAGCCGUUGGGUGAUUUAUCACUGAGUGGCGCAGCUAACGCUUUGAGCAUUCCGCCUGGGGAGUACGGCCGCAAGGUUAAAACUCAAAUGAAUUGAC